rnacentral:rRNA from 1 species
UACGGAGGGUGCAAGCGUUAUCCGGAUUUACUGGGUUUAAAGGGUGUGUAGGCGGACUUUUAAGUCCGUGGUGAAAUCUCCGGGCUCAACCCGGAAACUGCCAUGGAUACUAUAGGUCUUGAAUGUUGUUGAGGUGGGCGGAACGGGUCAUGUAGCGGUGAAAUGCAUAGAUAUGACCCGGAACACCGAUUGCGAAGGCAGCCCACUAAGCAAUGAUUGACGCUGAGGCACGAAAGCGUGGGGAUCAAACAGG